rnacentral:lncRNA from 1 species
CAAAAUCACAUUUCCACGAACCGGCUUCUGAGUAACUGUAGCAUCCCCGAAUCCGGGUCCCAAAUCGCCACGGAUCCGGUAUACUAUUUCUAUCACUAUUGCGGAAGAUAUAAACAUAAAUUAUUUAUACAUUAAACUUUACACAUCAUUCCCAAGGUCUACAACCUUAACUUAAUACAUACCUUCAAUAUCUUAGAAGAUUUACA